GAGGGUUUAACUCAGUGGCAGAGCACGUGCUUAGCAUACACGAGGUCCUGGGUUCAAUCCCCAGCACCUCCU
rnacentral:tRNA from 1 species